rnacentral:lncRNA from 11 species
UUUAAAAAGCAGGAUCCAAUCAAUAUCCCUGGUAGAGAUUUGCUGAAGAAAAGUUCAAGUAGCAGGCUACCUAGUAAUAAUUUUAGAGCGUUUCUGUCAAAACAUCAGGUGAAAAUGGUCCCUCGGUUGUGCUAAAUUUAUUUAUUUAUUUAUUUACAGUAUUUAUAUUCUGCCCUUCUCACCUUCGAAGGGGACUCAGGGCGGAUCACAUUACAUAUAUAAGGCAAACAUUCAAUGCCUUGACAUAGAACAAAGACAAAGACAAACACAGGCUUCGAGCUGGCUUCGAACUCAUGACCUCUUGGUCAGAGUGAUUGGUCUCAGCUGGCUGCAGCUGGCUGCUCACCAGCUUGCGCCACAGCCCAGGCCUCUUUGGCUUUUGGAUUUGGAGCAUAAUAAAUAUGACUAUUGCAUUUCUCCCCUGCUUCAUUUCCAGAUCAUAAAGACUACAUCUGCGGGCUUCAGCCUUUCAUUCUUCAGAUAUUUUGGACUUCAACUGACCCAAAAACAGAACAAGAAAAUGUGGAGCACUUUUCAGGACAUCCCUAGCACUGGAGAACUUUUUAAAAAUCUGAAACACAACUGGCCAGAAGGUAAGCAAAUAUUUUCCUAGGAGAGGAAACCACAUCAUUCCCAUGGGAACUUUCACUUUCUGCCCCUUUGUUUUCAUUUCCUGUGUCCUGCUACAGUCCAGCACUGCUCCCAAAUGGACAGGGGUAUGCACAUCAGUGCAUUAAAGAUGACUGGUUAAGAAAAAAACCACGAAUUUUCCAGUGGCAGUCUAAGUGCAGAUACUGCAAUUCCUGGGUUUGGUUAUACACUUGUGCACAGCUAUCUAAAUUCAAAAACAAAAGUGGUUUUUAUUCAACUAACCUAGCAGCAGAAGAGGACGGGGACAGAUUAUUCCCUUUUCCAGUAGGCUAAGACAAAAGUUAAUUUUGCAGCCUCUCCCAACUUAUCUUUUUUGCUCACUAAUAACCUUUGCCAUCUUGC